AUGACGGAAACAAUGGAACUCAGUCUUUCAGAUGUUGUCAGUGUCUUGACAAGCAAUAAGCCAUCUUCUAUGACAGCAACAUAUUACUUACUUCUGAAAAAACUGGUGAGAUACCAAAAGGAACAAAGGGCCAUAAAGAAAGAAAGAGUACCAGAGAAGUCUGACAGGAAGCCACCUAUAAAUAACGAUAUGGAAACACUUGCUUCUCUGAAGACAGAACCAGUCAGAGCAGAAAAUCUGAAAAGCUGUGACAGUAAAGCAUGUCCUCCAGUGCCGAACUCAGAAAUGCCAUAUGCCAUCCAGGAAGAUGAAAUUGCCAUCACUCUGGAAAACCAAGAGAUUUUACCAAAAGUUUCCAAGUUUGCAGACAGAGAACUGGUACAUUUUGAGCCUCCUAAAUCUCCAGAUACAUUUUUUUCUGGUGAACCACUCAGCCAGACGCAACAAGAUCCACAAGAAAAUGAGGAAGGUGUCAAGGAUUUCACAGAAGUGAGAAAAUCAUAUUUGUCAGAGAGGACCCCUUCUGCUACAGGGAAUAACCACCAAGCUCAAUGUAUGAAUCGGCUAACACCAAGAUCAGCAACUGAAAGCCGAGCUCUAGACCAAAGUCCUGUUGUUUUCCCUGACACAAAAGUCAUAGAUCUCCUGAGAGCAAUGGAUGAAAAUCUUUCAGCCCCAACAUGGCAAUAUCCAGAAAAAGACAGCUCUGCCUUCUUGAUAAUGGAAACGCCACAACUCUCACCUCUACCACGAUUGAGGCAAGUUGCUUUGAGGGACUCCAUCACUAAAAGGGUGUCAUGGGUAGGAUUAUCGCAACAGCAACCUAGUGGCUCUUCUCCAUUUUUUGCCAAUGGUUCAAGGCCACCAAUUUUCCCUAUGUCCCAGCAACAAACACUCAUGGUGAGAAGCCUGAGGCAAUCUAAAGAAAAGUCCAAAGAGCUUUUCAGCAGUAGUAACAUUAAGAGGAACUUUGUCCAGCUCAAACAUGUACCUAAGGACACGGACCUGAAUCUUCCAGUAUUGUCUCCACCAUAUCAAACAAGAUCAGCGAAAAAAUCAGAGAUUUUAAGGUUAGAUUUUGCAUAGGGAAAUACAUGCAAAGCAGGGUAUUAAAUGGGGAGGAGCGGCCAUAUUAUACAAGUGCAAGACAAUGAAGGAUCUUGGUGAAUAGUACCACGCAGUAAGAAUGUAUCACAAUUCAAAUAAAAUAGGUGAAGUUGGAGUUUAGUUGCGAAAGAGAUUUAAGAAAAGAUGGGGCUCUGGUAGGCAAGCCAUGGCUUCACACAUUGCAACCGAAGAAUUUAAUUCCACCUUGCCUCAAAGACAUCACACACAGAAGUUCCAUGGUGAGGAAAAUAAAUGGUCAUGGACUAGCAGUUUAUGUUUCUGCUUUUUUAAUGUUCUUGAAGCUUGUGCCAAACAAGGUUUGGUUAGUUUUAUUUUAAAUAAAGUUACACAGCCACUGGUACCUGAACUGCUUUGUUUCAUUAUGACUGCUGUCUUUAAUAGAAGGAAUAGCAUUUCUUGACUACAACACUCAGAAUCCUCAUCUAGGAUGAGCAUUUUAAUGUCAACAUUUAUUUUUAAUUCUUUGCCAUCUCUCUCCUGCUCUCCCUCCACCCCUGAAUCCACACUUCCGCAAGCACUAUGGAUCCUAGACAUGGAGCUCGAAGCCCUUUUCACAAAAUCUCCAUCCAGAUAAGAAAAACUUAGCUUUAUUUAUAAAUGGACAUCAUUAGGCAUUGGACUAAUGCUGAGAUGCCAAUUCUCCUUAAACAGGGGCACUUUCACACCACACAAUUAUAGCAAUUUGAUUUCCUUUCAACGAGGAUGUAUAAAUUAGGGAGAUAUUAAAGAAUUCUAAAUGCAUCUUCCUACAGUUUGGUUUUGAAUGCAGGACAGUGAAGAAACCUAAUAGGAAGAAAGCUAACUUAUUUGCAAUGUUGUGCUGGAGAAGAGUUCUAUGGAUAUUGUGCUCUGCUAAAAAGGCAAAUAAAUAGGCAAGUCAAUUCUGAUUUCACAACAGAAGCCAUGUUUUAACUGAGACUGUCAUGCUUUGACCAUAUCACUGGGAGGGAGGGGGACACAAUGGUGCUUGGUAAAGUGGAAAGCAGUAGGAAGAGAGGGGCAGCUCACUACAGGUGGAUACAUUCAAUCAAGGGUUCUGUAGGCCUGAAUUAAUAAGAACUGAGCAAGGUAAUUGGUGACCAGGGCUCCUGGUGUCAUCUCAUCCAUAGGGUUGAAAUAAGUUUACAUCUACUUGAUAAUAAAUAACAACAGCAAAGCUGUAGAUCCAUGCAUUCCAUAGGAUGGACCCAUAGCACUUAAAAUGGAAUGAAAGUGCUAUAACUGUGUAGUGUGAAAUGGUCCCAAGAACUCUUAAUUAUGAUCUUUCAUACCCAAUACCGCUCUGUGGAACAAGAAGAAUAUUGGGAUUCUCUGGGGCUGUUGGGAAGAUAAACUCAAACACAUGCAUGCACACACACUAAGGUAGCCCCUCUGAGAUAAAUGUUUAAUAAACCAUGGUUGUAUAGUAGUUCACUUCAGUUUCCUAGGCAUGCAUAAGCUCCUCUUUCAAUGACCAGACUUCUCACACAAGUGCACUUUUUAUGUUGCUCUUAUUCUCCAGUGAGUUCAAAGUGGCUUUUCUACCAGUUUUGUCAAAACUACACCCCAGUAAGAAGGAUACUGCUGAGUGAGAGCAACUAGCCCAAAUUGACCCAGUUAGUUUCAUGAUUUGUUAGGAGAAUGAACCAGAAUCUUUCAAACCUCACUCGAACACCAAAGGCUUGGAUGAAUUUCAGUACUACUUGCUGGAAUACAUGUGUAUGCUGAACAUUAACACAUAUUAUUGUAUUAAUAAAGAACAUUGGGUUGCCACCUGCUCUCCAGCCAAGCCCAUCCAUGAGAUUAACAAUAAGGGAGUAGAUUGAUGUCCUAACCAUUCAAAAGAAAGUAAAUGUUUCUUUUCCUUGGGGUCAAUGCUGCUGCUUUCCUGUCCUGGACCUACUCUUCUAAAAAUAAUAAUUUGCUAAAAAUAAUAAUUUUUAAAAAUGCAAAUCCGUGCCAUCAUUUUUUUUCUGGCUAUGGGCCUGUAUGUUCCCUUUUAUAAUACAUACCAAGCCACACUGUCCUUUAAGCCAUAAAAACACACUACAGUUAAUAAUUUAGAAGUCAAGGAAAUUUUGUUUAGGCUCUAAAUAGCUUCUGAAUAAUUGAGAAGGUGUUCUGACACUAGAUAGUUUUUUCAGUGUGGUGACAUCCACCUUGUGUAAAAUGGUGAAGAGAGAUUGAAAUGAAUGAUCCAUCCCCCAAAGCGUCUUGUGUUACGGCUUAUGGAUACACGCUUAAAAGCCAAUGAAAAAGAAGAUGCCUGCUCAUAUUCACCAUUAAAGGGGAACCAGCUGCCUACUUCUUUGGGUCUUAAACACAAUAUGUUGAAAAUCUAUGAAUAACAAAGUGUGAAUCAUGGAAACAUGAAUUUCUGUAUAUUUAGAUACUUGUGAAAGGACCAUUUUUUAAAAAAAGGCCUGGAAAUGAAAUUUAAAAAGCAGUCAAUGGAAAUACAGAUAAAUAUUGAGAAGGAAGAUGUUAGUAGUGUUGUCAGAUUUCCUACAACAGUGGGGUACUCAGUGGUCAUCCCUAGACAGAUAACGUUUCAAGGAAAUAAAGGAACUAUUGUAGCCAAUGUGGAAAAUACAGUUACUUUCAGAGUUGCACCUUCGGUCUUCAAGUAAGAGCAGAGCUGGGAAGUUUGUUGGCUUUUUCAUUGAAACUCCCAGACUUCUCCAUACAGCAAGGUGACUGCUAGAGUUUUGUGGAGCUGUGGUUUGAAAGAGUAACUUUCCUGACCUCUGGAGUGGUUGGGUAGGAAAUGGCAAAACUUUUUGGAUCAAGCAACAAGUAGUUCAUCUGAUUCUAGCUGCUGAAAGUAGAUUUUACUCCACUUAGUACUGCAAGAACUCUCACAGUCUAGUUAUUAGGCUUGCUCAAAUAAUUCGAUUUCCCCGUUACUCGUUACUAAUUCGUUACUUUUGUAACUUGUGAAGCAAUAUACGACCUUGAUUGUCCACACGUCUGGAUAUCGCGGUUUUGAACCGCGACAGGCCGUUUUUCUUAUUUCGUCGUUUUUUUCGUUGGGAAAAAAAGGUUUUGCAAAUCACCCAAACUUGUUUAAGUGCACUGGGGCAACCUAGCGUGUUCUUUCCACCUUGUGGCCAAUCAGAGAGCAUGUUUAACCCAGGGGAGGGGCUGGUA
rnacentral:lncRNA from 1 species